rnacentral:rRNA from 1 species
AUUGAACGCUGGCGGCAUGCCUUACACAUGCAAGUCGAACGGUAACAGGUUAAGCUGACGAGUGGCGAACGGGUGAGUAAUGUAUCGGAACGUGCCCAGUCGUGGGGGAUAACUACUCGAAAGAGUGGCUAAUACCGCAUACGACCUGAGGGUGAAAGCGGGGGACCGUAAGGCCUCGCGCGAUUGGAGCGGCCGAUAUCAGAUUAGCUAGUUGGUGGGGUAAAAGCCCACCAAGGCGACGAUCUGUAGCUGGUCUGAGAGGACGACCAGCCACACUGGGACUGAGACACGGCCCAGACUCCUACGGGAGGCAGCAGUGGGGAAUUUUGGACGAUGGACGCAAGUCUGAUCCAGCCAUGCCGCGUGCGGGAAGAAGGCCUUCGGGUUGUAAACCGCUUUUGUCAGGGAAGAAACGAGUUUCUCUAAUACAGAGACUUAAUGACGGUACCUGAAGAAUAAGCACCGGCUAACUACGUGCCAGCAGCCGCCGUAAUAC